rnacentral:rRNA from 1 species
UACGUAGGGUGCAAGCGUUAAUCGGAAUUACUGGGCGUAAAGCGUGCGCAGGCGGUGAUGUAAGACAGAUGUGAAAUCCCCGGGCUCAACCUGGGAACUGCAUUUGUGACUGCAUCGCUGGAGUACGGCAGAGGGGGAUGGAAUUCCGCGUGUAGCAGUGAAAUGCGUAGAUAUGCGGAGGAACACCGAUGGACGAAGGCAGUGUCCUGGGGAGUACCUGACGCUCAGGUGGACGAAAGCCAGGGGAGCGAACGGGAUUAGACGUAC